AACUCUCGGUCGUGACGUCAUCAACAUGGACGCCCAGGCCAUGAAAAAUACAUUAGUAGUAUACAAAGCAAAGUAGUUUUUACUAAUUUUUGACAGAAAAAUAACGUGACAGCUCUUAAAUUUUAUAUAUGUGAUAACGCAUAUAAUUUACUAUAAGAUGAUGGUACUUUUCCCUCCCUGAAAUUGUUAAUAUGUUUUAUUUAGGAUGAUCAAAGCAUUGUAUAGGUUAUAGAGCAACAUGGAAUGUAAUAACCAAAAAGAGGCAGGCAUGCAAUUUUCAC